rnacentral:rRNA from 1 species
AACGAACGCUGGCGGCACGCCUAACACAUGCAAGUCGAACGAGACCUUCGGGUCUAGUGGCGCACGGGUGCGUAACGCGUGGGAACCUGCCCUUAGGUUCGGAAUAACUCCCCGAAAGGGGUGCUAAUACCGGAUAAUGUCUUCGGACCAAAGAUUUAUCGCCUUUGGAUGGGCCCGCGUUGGAUUAGCUAGUUGGUAGGGUAAAAGCCUACCAAGGCGACGAUUCAUAGCUGGUCUGAGAGGAUGAUCAGCCACACUGGGACUGAGACACGGCCCAGACUCCUACGGGAGGCAGCAGUGGGGAAUAUUGGACAAUGGGCGAAAGCCUGAUCCAGCAAUGCCGCGUGAGUGAUGAAGGCCUUAGGGUUGUAAAGCUCUUUUACCCGGGAUGAUAAUGACAGUACCGGGAGAAUAAGCUCCGGCUAACUCCGUG